UUCCAGGGGCGGGAAUCGAACCCACAACCUUCCGCUUACCGGGCAGAUGCCAUGUCCACUAGGCUACCCUGGA